GACGAACGCUGGCGGCGUGCUUAACACAUGCAAGUCGAACGGUAAGGCCCUUCGGGGUACACGAGUGGCGAACGGGUGAGUAACACGUGGGUGAUCUGCCCUGCACUUCGGGAUAAGCCUGGGAAACUGGGUCUAAUACCGGAUAGGACCACUGCCUGCAUGGGUGGUGGUGGAGAGCUUUUGCGGUGUGGGAUGGGCCCGCGGCCUAUCAGCUUGUUGGUGGGGUGAUGGCCUACCAAGGCGACGACGGGUAGCCGGCCUGAGAGGGUGACCGGCCACACUGGGACUGAGAGACGGCCCAGACUCCUACGGGAGGCAGCAGUGGGGAAUAUUGCACAAUGGGCGCAAGCCUGAUGCAGCGACGCCGCGUGAGGGAUGACGGCCUUCGGGUUGUAAACCUCUUUCAGCACCGACGAAGCGCAAGUGACGGUAGGUGCAGAAGAAGGACCGGCCAACUACGUGCCAGCCGCCGCAGUAA
rnacentral:rRNA from 1 species